AAUUUUUUACAAUAAAGUAUCACACCUUUAAAAACCUCUUCAAUUGCAUUAAUUUCAGCGUCACAUUUGUUGGAUUCCAAGUUGGACACCAGGACUUCAGUGUUCGUCACAUUUGUUGGAUUCCAAGUUGGACACCAGGACUUCAGUGUUGUAAGUGCUUCUUUAAUGUCUUCGGUUGUUUCAUUUUGAUGAAACUCGCAACAACCUGGUAGCCAACAUUGGUUUUUACGCACAGGAAGGAAAAAUAAAGGAAGAGCAUAUUUCGUGGUUUUGUAUGUUGCAUCCAGCAAACCAAUGUCUUGGCCAUAACGAAGUAAUAACUUGUGCUGCCAAGCAAGUUGAUGAACCAAAAAAAAUGUUUCUUUGCUUUGCAUAAUUGGUUGAUCAUUAUCAGUAUCAGCCAUAUUAUGUGUGUUAUUGUUGGCAGCAAUAUAUUGCCGAAAGCAAAUAUUGUCAUCAGGGUAACCAUCAGUUUUCGACGCAUCCACUAACAAUUGAACGUUGACCUGAUCCAUUUUAGCAAGUUUUCGCUUACAUGAUGCAGAUUUAUAAUGAACAUCUUUAAUUGGAAAAUAUCUCCUGUUGAGGUGCUUCUUUAUUUUUAAAAAGCUCGUGAAUGACGAAUGAUUUAAGAGCCCGUUCAAUUUCUGCAACUGAGCGCACCCCAUCAUCAACCAUUUCAUUGAUUUUGGCUACAAUUCUUUUGUCAAUUGAUUGAUGGAUACCCGCACUCUAACAGAUAAAAAUCAGUUAUUGAGCAUGUAGUCCCAUCUUCCCCCACCCUACUAUAUCAUGCUAAUCAGUUUAAAACGUGCUCACUCAUUAGAUCUUUGAUCUCUUGUAUAAUACAAGUUUUAUAAAACUGUGUGUGUUUCUUGAUCACAAAAGGUUAAGUUUGUAUAAAACAUAUUUUAUUAUUCAUUCAUUUAUAAUAUAUAUAACUUGUUUAUAAUCUAAAAAUAAUAACUCCCAUUACAGUGUAACCAGAAAAUAUAUCUGGUUACAAAGGCUUCGCGCCACGCGCCAUUACCAGCCGAACCAUUUAUAUUAUGUCCCCAUUAAAUUUGUUAAUUUUAUUACCAGCCGAACCAUUUAUAUUAUGUCCCCAUUAAAUUUGUUAAUUUUAUUACCAGCCGAACCAUUUAUAUUAUGUCCCCAUUAAAUUUGUUAAUUUUAUUUAAAAAAUACUCUGCAAAGCUUACUCGGACAUGCUAAAUACCUAUUUUAAUUAAAUUAGCUGACUGUACAAUUAGAAUAACAGUUAAGAGGUAGCAAUUUUAACGAUUAGAAUAACAGUUAAGAGGUAGCAAUUUUAACGAUUAGAAUAACAGUUAACAGGUAGCGAUUAGAAUAACAGUUAAGAGGUAGCAAUUUUAACGAUUAGAAUAACAGUUAACAGGUAGCGAUUAGAAUAACAGUUAAGAGGUAGCAAUUUUAACGAUUAGAAUAACAGUUAAUAGGUAGUAAUUUUAAGUAUAAAAAGAUUUUAUGUGCUUGUGGCUAUUUAUGACGUCACUAACAAGCUCCACAGGGUGAAUUUGCCACUCAGUUCUACUAUCUACCAGUCCGCCAGGUCCACUAGGUCUUUACUAUUAGGUAUGUUAGUCUUAGAUUAGCAAUUUUUCCAUUGGGUAUGUUAGUCUUAGGUUUCUUGAUUUUGUCAGCCUUAGGUCUGUUAGACUUAGCAUUUGGGUGGUCUGUUAAGUAUACUGGACCCACUCGCUCCAGUACUGGGUCCAUCAACUGGUACCGUGUUUAAUUUGAAAACGUUUUGUAAUAUCUUUUGUUUUUUAAUCUUACCUUGUUAUUGUGUCAAGAGUAAGCUUGAAAAGUAUCACCAUAGUAAUAAAAUGGUGUUUAAGCUUGAAAAGUAUCACCAUAGUAAUAAAAUGGUGUUUAUAGAGUACUACGCAUAUCCUGUGUAAAGCCCCGUUAUCACCACUUUGUGUGUUGUGAUACUAUGCAUGUUCAUUCAUUAAAGCUAUGCUAAAUUGUAAACCUAAAGUACUCCUAGCUACGCCACCGUGGCAGUACACUCUCGCUUUUGAACCACACGAUGUCAGGUGUGUAGGCUUGUUAUUUCAACGCUGCAGAUACGUGUGCCCUUUUGCAAAACAGCCAACUAAUUAUUCUAGCUUGGUUAUCUAAAUAGCCAGCCAUACAGAAUACAUAUAACAACAAUCACCCAUUAAGUUACAUUAUUAGUAACCGGGUAUGACGUGCCCGAAACAGGACUGUUGCUGUCCGCAACUUAAAACAUCAAAUGACAUAUUAAUGUUGAAACUACAUAGAACAAAUAAACAAGCCUACUUUAUAUUAGCGGAAACAAGUUUUGCAAAAUAACAUAAAGCAUGGAUGGUUUAUGUGGGAAGAAUAGUCAUACGAAAACAUCUUUCAUGAAUAUAAUUGAUCCAAAGUGUAUGCGUUUUUUAUCUCAGGAAACUUUAGCAAGCUUACAGCCAGACAUAAGAAUAAUUAAUAAAAAUGCCUAAGAAUAAAACCAAGAACUAUCCAUGCACAAUUUGUAACGAUAAUUGUAAAAGUGUAUUGAAUGCUGAUCUUGUAAGGAAUGGGUCCACUAUGAAGAAUGGAGAAACACACGUUUAAUUUUUUUUUUGCAGCACAUGUGCAACGACAAACAACAACAAAGAGGUAUACGAUUUCGAACGUGCUCUUUCCUGAAUAAAUUCCAGCCUUUCUGGAAUAAAUUCCAGCCUUUCUGCAAAAUGAACGAAGUCUUUUUGUAUGGUUAUCGCCAACCAAGAGCUGUUGUUGAUUGAAACAUACUAAGCUCAAC